UUUAAUUCGAUGCAACGCGAAGAACCCUACCUGGGCUUUGACAUCCCUGGAAUCCCCUGGAAACAGGGGAGUGCCCUUCGGGGAGCCCAGGAGACAGGUGCUGCAUGGCUGUCGUCAGCUCGUGUCGUGAGAUGUUGGGUUAAGUCCCGCAACGAGCGCAACCCUUGCCAUUAGUUGUCAGCGAGUCAUGUCGGAUACUCUAAUGGGACUGCCGGUGACGAGCCGGAGGAAGGUGGGAUGACGUCAAGUCAGCAUGGCCUUUAUGUCCAGGGCCACACACGUGCUACAAUGGACGGUACAGAGGGACGCAAGACCGCAAGGUGGAGCAAAUCCUCAAAACCGUUCUCAGUUCGGAUUGUAGGCUGCAAUUCGCCUACAUGAAGCUGGAAUUGCUAGUAAUCGCAGAUCAGCUACGCUCGCGGUCGAAUACGUUCCGGGCCUU
rnacentral:rRNA from 1 species